rnacentral:rRNA from 1 species
GUGUCAGCAGCCGCGGUAAUACGUAGGGUCCGAGCGUUGUCCGGAAUUAUUGGGCGUAAAGAGCUCGUAGGCGGUUUGUCGCGUCUGCUGUGAAAUCCCGAGGCUCAACCUCGGGCCUGCAGUGGGUACGGGCAGACUUGAGUGCGGUAGGGGAGAAUGGAAUUCCUGGUGUAGCGGUGGAAUGCGCAGAUAUCAGGAGGAACACCGAUGGCGAAGGCAGUUCUCUGGGCCGUAACUGACGCUGAGGAGCGAAAGCGUGGGGAGCGAACAGGAUUAGAAACCCUCGUAGUCC